UCCGGUUUGUCACCGGCAGUCUCAUUAGAGUGCCCAACUUAAUGUAGCAACUAGUGACAAGGGUUGCGCUCGUUGCGGGACUUAACCCAACAUCUCACGGCACGAGCUGACGACAGCCAUGCAGCACCUGUGUCCAGGCCCCGUAAGGGGAGGAAUCCAUCUCUGGAAACCGUCCUGGCAUGUCAAACGCUGGUAAGGUUCUGCGCGUUGCUUCGAAUUAAACCACAUGCUCCACCGCUUGUGCGGGCCCCCGUCAAUUCCUUUAAGUUUUAAUCUUGCGACCGUACUCCCCAGGCGGGGUGCUUAAUGCGUUAGCUGCGCCACCAACGAGCAAGCUCGCUGACGGCUAGCACCCAUAGUUUACGGCGUGGACUAC
rnacentral:misc_RNA from 1 species